rnacentral:rRNA from 1 species
UUCGGAUGCUGACGAGUGGCGAACGGGUGAGUAAUACAUCGGAACGUGCCUAGUAGUGGGGGAUAACUACUCGAAAGAGUAGCUAAUACCGCAUGAGAUCUACGGAUGAAAGCAGGGGACCUUCGGGCCUUGUGCUACUAGAGCGGCUGAUGGCAGAUUAGGUAGUUGGUGGGGUAAAAGCUUACCAAGCCUGCGAUCUGUAGCUGAUCUGAGAGGACGACCAGCCACACUGGGACUGAGACACGGCCCAGACUCCUACGGGAGGCAGCAGUGGGGAAUUUUGGACAAUGGGCGAAAGCCUGAUCCAGCAAUGCCGCGUGCAGGAUGAAGGCCCUCGGGUUGUAAACUGCUUUUGUACGGAACGAAAAGCCUGGGGCUAAUAUCCCCGGGUCAUGACGGUACCGUAAGAAUAAGCACCGGCUAACUACGUGCCAGCAGCCGCGGUAAUACGUAGGGUGCAAGCGUUAAUCGGAAUUACUGGGCGUAAAGCGUGCGCAGGCGGUUUUGUAAGACAGUGGUGAAAUCCCCGGGCUCAACCUGGGAACUGCCAUUGUGACUGCAAGGCUAGAGUGCGGCAGAGGGGGAUGGAAUUCCGCGUGUAGCAGUGAAAUGCGUAGAUAUGCGGAGGAACACCGAUGGCGAAGGCAAUCCCCUGGGCCUGCA